GACGAACGCUGGCGGCGUGCUUAACACAUGCAAGUCGAACGGAAAGGCCUGCUUUCCCUUGUGGAUUGCGGGUACUCGAGUGGCGAACGGGUGAGUAACACGUGAGUGAUCUGCCCCCAACUUGGGUAUAAGCCUGGGACACUGGGUCUAAUUCCCGAUAGGACUGCAGGGUGGUGCCUGUGGUGGAAAACGAUUUUCUAGUGGUUGGGGAUGAGCUCGCGGCCUAUCAGCUUGUUGGUGGGGUAAUGGCCUACCAAGGCGGCGACGGGUAGCCGGCCUGAGAGGGUGGACGGCCACAUUGGGACUGAGAUACGGCCCAGACUCCUACGGGAGGCAGCAGUGGGGAAUAUUGCACAAUGGGCGGAAGCCUGAAGCAGCGACGCCGCGUGGGGGAUGACGGCCUUCGGGUGGUAAACUCCUUUCGACCGCGAGGAAGCCACCUGGUUGGAAGGGUGGUGACGGUAGUGGUAGAAGAAGCACCGGCUAACUACGUG
rnacentral:rRNA from 1 species